AGUGAACGCUGGCGGUAGGCCUAACACAUGCAAGUCGAACGGCAGCACAGUAAGAGCUUGCUCUUACGGGUGGCGAGUGGCGGACGGGUGAGGAAUACAUCGGAAUCUACUUUUUCGUGGGGGAUAACGUAGGGAAACUUACGCUAAUACCGCAUACGACCUACGGGUGAAAGCAGGGGAUCUUCGGACCUUGCGCGAUUGAAUGAGCCGAUGUCGGAUUAGCUAGUUGGCGGGUUAAAGGCCCACCAAGGCGACGAUCCGUAGCUGGUCUGAGAGGAUGAUCAGCCACACUGGAACUGAGACACGGUCCAGACUCCUACGGGAGGCAGCAGUGGGGAAUAUUGGGCAAUGGGCGCAAGCCUGAUACAGCCAUACCGCGUGGGUGAAGAAGGCCUUCGGGUUGUAAAGCCCUUUUGUUGGGAAAGAAAAGCAGCAGGUUAAUACCCCGCUGUUCUGACGGUACCCGAAGAAUAAGCACCGGCUAACUUCGUG
rnacentral:rRNA from 1 species